rnacentral:misc_RNA from 1 species
AAACUGCGAUACGUAGUGUGAAUUGCAGAAUUCAGUGAAUCAUCGAAUCUUUGAACGCAAAUUGCGCUGCUGGGCUAUUCCCGGCAGCAUGCUUGGCUGAGUAUCAUCUGGACAAAUCAAUCGUGUUUUCAUGAUUGGAAUUGAGGAUUUAUGUCGCAAAGCAAUUUGCGUCCCUUCAAGUCUAGUAUGGUAUUGGCAUGAUUUUGGUAAUCUCUAUGCAAAAUUCACUUUGUCUUUUACCGUUCCAGUGUGUUAAGUGUUUCUUGCAAGCAAUUGCAUGACAAAACAUGAGCACUGAAUAUAGCGGUAAAUGUUAAGUGAAAAAGCAAAACAAAAUUUUGAUCUCAGCUCAAGCAAGACUACCCGCUGAAUUUAA